GAACGCACCUUGCACUCCUUGGUAUUCCGAGGAGUAUGCCUGUUUGAGUGUCAGUAAACACCCCAAAGCUUUUGAUUUUUUUUAAAAGUUUUGGACUUGAGCAAUCCCAACACCAAUCUUUUUCAGAUCGGCGGCGGGUUGCUUGAAAUGCAGGUGCAGCUGGACAUUCUCCUGAGCUAAAAGCAUAUUUAUUUAGUCCCGUCAAACGGAUUAUUACUUUUGCUGCAGCUAAUAUAAAGGGAGUUUGACCGUAUUGGCUGACUGAUGCAGGAUUUCACAAGGGUCGGCAACGAUUCUUGUAAAACUCGAUCUCAAAUCAAGUAAGACUACCCGCUGAACUUAAG
rnacentral:misc_RNA from 1 species